rnacentral:rRNA from 1 species
AGCGAACGCUGGCGGCAGGCCUAACACAUGCAAGUCGAACGGAUCCUUCGGGAUUAGUGGCGGACGGGUGAGUAACACGUGGGAACGUGCCCUUUGGUUCGGAACAACUCAGGGAAACUUGAGCUAUUACCGGAUGUGCCCUUCGGGGGAAAGAUUUAUCGCCCUUGGAGCGGUCCGCUUCUGAGUAGCUCGUUGGUGAGGUAAAGGCUCACCAAGGCGACUAUCAGUAGCUGGUCUGGGAGGAUGAUCAGACACAGUGGAACUGAGACACGGCCAAAACUACGACGGGGAGCCGCCGUGGGGAAUGUUGCGCAAUCGGCUAAAGCCUGAUGCAGCCCUGCCGCGCGUAUGAUGAAGAUCUUAAGAUUGUAAAAUUCUUUCACCGGUGGAUGUAAUGGCGAUACCCGGUGAAGAAGCCCCGGCUAAGUGCGUGCCAGCCGCCGCAGUAA